rnacentral:lncRNA from 1 species
GGGUUGCGUCCCCCGCGCCUGCUGGCCCACGUGGACCUGGCCGUCGCUUGCCGUGCGGCGCCUUUGCGAAAACUCGACGGAAGUGGCAGGGACCGGGCAUUACCUGCGAGUGCCGGGCGCCUCCUGCUCCGCUGUGCGCGCUUGGGGUGGGACUCGGCGGGGGAGGGGUCGUGUACGUUGUCCCACCAGGCGCAAUGAAGCCGAGCGGCGCAGAGGAUUUCUUUUUUGGUCUUGAGAGCAUAGAGUCCCUUUUCAUAUUCACGUGUACUCUUAAGAAAGCGUCUGUUCUCCAAACUGGCUUUCCAUUCUCCCCGUCCUAAAUGGUGCGUGGCUGACACCGUAGUGUUUUCAAAACUGGAUAUGGCCAGGAUGCUAUAGCAUUGUCAGUGCAUCUCCUUGGAAACAAUGCCAUCUUUGAAUGUGAGAGAUAAACCUAGUUUCAGCAUGUCUGCAGCAGAGACCAGUACAUCAGGCUUAUUCCCACAGGAAGCCUCCUAAAGCCUGUGGCGCGGCAACCAUUUCCAGGACUAAAUAAUAAUGUGUCAGAUGCCUGUGAGUGGACUGCCUGGCCAAAUGACUCAUGAAGAUAUUCACGGAAGAAUAGUCAAAAACCAAAGAAAAGGCAUAUUCUAGAAGCACCUUCAAUUCCAUCGAGGAUUUUUGAGCAGCUGAAGAAGAAAGUUCUGAAAAUAUGAGUGACAGGACUCCAGCACAUUUUUUUAGUUGUUUCUUACAUUAUCUUUGUUAACCCAUCCGCUUUUGUGUAUAAUAUUGAGUUAUUUUCUACUACUGCAAUGGCUAGUAAUUUACUUAGGCUCAGAGUUUUACUCUGUAUGGACAGAGAAACAGGAGGUAACAACAGUGGGAGAACAAAUAGGAACAGUUCACUGGGAUGUUGGUCCCCAGAAAUUGGCUUUCAUUGAAUAAUUCCUAAAGGGUGUCGUGUGCUGAAUUGCUUUUUCAUAGUGAUGUGCUGCUUCUUGUUCAUACUCUUAUGACUUUAAUUUCACCUUUAUCUACUCCCAGCCUCUGUAUAUGCCUAUGUUUUUUAAAAAUAAUUUUUGGCACUGAAGAUCUGAUUACCAUAUUUUUUCAGUUUAAAAAUUAUAUCCUCACAAAUAGACCUUUGGUAUAGUUGCAUUCUACCCUAGGUUAUUUUCUAGGAUCAAGAAUAGAACAAUUUCUGUUCUUUCCAGCAUUACUCUUUACUAUUCAUAUGUUCUUGUUCAGUGUUUUGUUGUUCUCAUAUUCUAGGUGGAAAUGAAGGGUAAUCUCUAUGUUCUAUUUUCAGUUUUCUGGGAAACCAGAAAAACAUGGGUAGUAGAAAUGUAUAGAAAAUUUAUGAGGUCUCUUAACCAUUGUGUUAAACUUGCAUUAAGCUUCUUUUUUAGCAAUAUCGAUGUCAGUAUUACCUCUUCUUUCCUUUUUAUUUAUUUUUUUUGAGACAGAGUCUCAUUCUGUCGCCCAGACUGGUUGGAGUGCGAUGAUGCGAUCGCGGUUAACUGCAACCGCUGCCUCCCAGGUACGAGUAAUUCUCGUGCCUUGGGCUCCCGAGUAGCUGGGAUUUUUAGUAGAGACCAGGUUUCACCAUAUUGGUCAGCCUCCCCAAAGUGUUGGGAUUACAGGCAUGAGCCACCAUGCCUGGCCCCUUUUGUUGUUUUGAGGGGCAGGCAGUAAGAAGCAGGGAUUUCUUCAAAUGCUAGUAAGCACAAAGAGAGAGAGGGAGAAGUUUUCGUAAGUAACGAACAGGGCCGGGCAUGGUGGCGUGAGAGGCCGAGGUGGGCAGAUCACGAGGUCAGGAGUUCGAGACCAGCCUGACCAACAUAGUGAAACCCCCGUCUCCACUAGAAAUACAAAAAUUAGCCGGGCAUGGUGGUGCACGCCUGUAAUCCCAGCUAGUCAGGAGGCUGAGGCAGGAGAAUCGCUUGAACCUGGGAGGUGGAGGUUGCAGGGAGCUGAGAUCACGCCACUGCACUCCAGCCUGGGCGACAGAGUAAGACUCCGUCUCAAAAAAAAAAAAAAAAGAACAGUUGAUCAUUAAGGCCAUUAAUGUGCAUGGACAGUUUGUUGCCCAGGUUGGAGUGUGAUGACGGCACAAUCUCGGUAAAUAUAAACCUACUCUGUAACCUCCACCUCCUGGGCUCAAGCAGUUCUCGUGCUUCAGCCUCCCGAGUAGCUGGGAUCACAGGCAUGCGCCACUAAGCCCAGCUAAUUUUUGUAUUCUUAGUAGAGACAGGGUUUCACCAUGUUGGCCAGGCUGGUCUUGAACUCCUGGCCUCAAGUGAUGCGCCUGCCUGGGCCUCCCAAAGUGCUGGGAUUACAGGUGUGAGCCACUGCACCUGGCCCAAUAGACACAUUUUUUUAAUAAGUAGUUUGUGGAUUAGAACGAAGAGCACUUGCCAUAAGUGCAUGUCAUUGUUUUCAGCUGUUAUGGCUAAGUCAGUUAACCUCAUCAACAAUUUUUUCUUCUGUAAAUUGAGGACAAUUUUUGCUUUUAUGAAUGAAGUCUUACCCAGCAGGGAGAAAUAUAAACAAAGGAACAUAUUUUUAAUUUAAUGAAGCAAAAUUCCAUACAUCAUUUUGAAAAUAGUGUUUCUUUCCCUGAUAGGCCUGUUCUGCAUCAUUCUUUUAGCUUCCUUCUGCCCUGUUUAUCACUUGGUCCCACUUUUAUAUUUUUCCUCUUCGGUCCAGAAUUUCUUAUUUAGUUUCUUGUAUUUUGCCUACUCCCUCCCUUCUCCAUGAUUCAGCCUAGUCUUUCCGCCCUCUCUGGACUUGGGUGUGCCUUCCUCUGGGCCACCUCGUCUUUUGCUGCUGUUAGCCCUCCCGCCUGCGCACCUGCCACUUCACCCUCGCCUGUGGUCCACUUGCGUUCCACUCAGCCCGGUCAGUCCUGCUUUGUUCUUCUCCACCGCCUUGGUCUCCCGUGUGUCUUAUCUAGCUCUGGUUCCUUCUCGUCUCCACAUUUAUUUUGUUUUCUUCCUGUGCUUGUUAGUCCUUGUGCACUUGGUCCUUGAGCUCUUUUUCUAUUAAUAGGUAUUACUAGAUGGAUUUGUUGUCUGCCUUUACAUAGAACACACAUCCUUACUGUGCAUUUCCUGGGUAGCCAGGAUGAAUCAAUUAUUAUUAACUUUCCUUCAAACAUUGAGCUUCCUGUGUUUUCUAAGAAUUAGAUUAGUAUUCUAGAAGACUAAUACUAAAGACAGUCAAGACAGUCAUACGCUGCCAUUUCAGCCCUUUAUUUAAGAGUUUGUGACAUUUAUCACUCCCUUGAAAGAUUAAAGAACACCCGAAGCAAGUUUGGGGUGGAGGUGGGGAAGGCAGGAAGAGAAAGGUAAGUGCUAUAAAAGGACUCAUCGUUAAUUUCUAGAAAUUGGACUGAGAUCUGAAAGCAUAAGCCUUAACAUUUUUUAGAUAAAAGGUCCCUGAAAAGAAUAAAAAGUAUCAGUACUUCCGUUAACUAGCUUUAGUAUUGGGUCAUUUGUAGUUUACAUUCUCCUUUAAGUUUUAAGACCUUCAGUAGUUAACAAAGCAGACAGAGACUGGCCAGGCACAGUGGCUCACACCUGUAAUCCCAGCACUUUGGGAGGCUGAGUUGGGUGGAUCACAAGGUCAGGAGAUUGAAACCAUCCUGGCCAACAUGGUGAAACC